GGAGCGACCGAUGAUGUGGAGAGAAUCCAACACCAUGGAGCCAGAGGCAGUGACUGAGUUUGUGGGUGUGUUGCCCAUGAGGAUUGGGGUAAACGGCAGGGUCCAACACAGUGGAGCCUGCAGCAGUGACCUUGUGGAUAUGUUGUCAACGUGGACUGUAGCAAACAGGGUGAUGUCCAGUGAAAACGUGAAGCCAAAUAUGCUUGGACACACUUCAAAACUGUUAACAAGAAAUGUUUGAGGAAGCUACCAUUUUCUGAUGAAAAUACAGCUUUAUUGGUGGCUGAUCUCUACAAAACCUCUUGAGCUUGAUUUUCUUCUGAUCCCUGUUGACACCAGUUCUCUAAAAGGAUGGAUUCCUGACAAUCAGUGAAAAUAAACUGAUGGACAAGAUUACACAUGUGUUUACUGUCACAGGCAAAUUAAAGUCAGCAAUGAGCUAACAGGCAACUGAUAUAACAGAUUAAAUGGUAUUAAAUCAGAAUAGUACAUCCUUGCCAUGGAAUCCAGCAAGCUCUGGAUAAAUGUCUGAAGAACGAUUUGCCCUCUGGUAGGCAAAAAAUGAGCCUUUGGGGAUGCUGCAAGUGAUGUUCCCAAGUGGCUGGGAAUUGAAAGACUGGUCAACCUGGAAAUUUAACUGCCAAUCAAUGAAAUGGACUCAAUAAAAUAUUCAAGACUUGCCUGUUA